GAUGAACGCUGGCGGCGUGCCUAAUACAUGCAAGUCGAGCGAACGGACGAGAACCUUGCUUCUCUGAUGUUAGCGGCGGACGGGUGAGUAACACGUGGAUAACCUACCUAUAAGACUGGGAUAACUUCGGGAAACCGGAGCUAAUACCGGAUAAUAUUUUGAACCGCAUGGUUCAAAAGUGAAAGACGGUCUUGCUGUCACUUAUAGAUGGAUCCGCGCUGCAUUAGCUAGUUGGUAAGGUAACGGCUUACCAGGGCAACGAUGCAUAGCCGACCUGAGAGGGUGAUCGGCCACACUGGAACUGAGACACGGUCCAGACUCCUACGGGAGGCAGCAGUAGGGAAUCUUCCGCAAUGGGCGAAAGCCUGACGGAGCAACGCCGCGUGAGUGAUGAAGGUCUUCGGAUCGUAAAACUCUGUUAUUAGGGAAGAACAUAUGUGUAAGUAACUGUGCACAUCUUGACGGUACCUAAUCAGAAAGCCACGGCUAACUACGUGCCAGCAGCCGCGGUAAUACGUAGGUGGCAAGCGUUAUCCGGAAUUAUUGGGCGUAAAGCGCGCGUAGGCGGUUUUUUAAGUCUGAUGUGAAAGCCCACGGCUCAACCGUGGAGGGUCAUUGGAAACUGGAAAACUUGAGUGCAGAAGAGGAAAGUGGAAUUCCAUGUGUAGCGGUGAAAUGCGCAGAGAUAUGGAGGAACACCAGUGGCGAAGGCGACUUUCUGGUCUGUAACUGACGCUGAUGUGCGAAAGCGUGGGGAUCAAACAGGAUUAGAUACCCUGGUAGUCCACGCCGUAAACGAUGAGUGCUAAGUGUUAGGGGGUUUCCGCCCCUUAGUGCUGCAGCUAACGCAUUAAGCACUCCGCCUGGGGAGUACGACCGCAAGGUUGAAACUCAAGGGAAUUGACGGGGACCCGCACAAGCGGUGGAGCAUGUGGUUUAAUUCGAAGCAACGCGAAGAACCUUACCAAAUCUUGACAUCCUUUGACAACUCUAGAGAUAGAGCCUUCCCCUUCGGGGGACAAAGUGACAGGUGGUGCAUGGUUGUCGUCAGCUCGUGUCGUGAGAUGUUGGGUUAAGUCCCGCAACGAGCGCAACCCUUAAGCUUAGUUGCCAUCAUUAAGUUGGGCACUCUAAGUUGACUGCCGGUGACAAACCGGAGGAAGGUGGGGAUGACGUCAAAUCAUCAUGCCCCUUAUGAUUUGGGCUACACACGUGCUACAAUGGACAAUACAAAGGGCAGCGAAACCGCGAGGUCAAGCAAAUCCCAUAAAGUUGUUCUCAGUUCGGAUUGUAGUCUGCAACUCGACUACAUGAAGCUGGAAUCGCUAGUAAUCGUAGAUCAGCAUGCUACGGUGAAUACGUUCUCGGGUCU
rnacentral:rRNA from 1 species